UACGUAGGGACCAAGCGUUGUUCGGAUUUACUGGGCGUAAAGGGCGCGUAGGCGGCGCGGUAAGUCACUUGUGAAAUCUCUGAGCUUAACUCAGAACGGCCAAGUGAUACUGCAGUGCUAGAGUGUGGAAGGGGCAACCGGAAUUCUCGGUGUAGCGGUGAAAUGCGUAGAUAUCGAGAGGAACACCUGCGGCGAAGGCGGGUUGCUGGGCUGACACGUGACGCUGAGGCGCGAAGCUAGGGGAGCGAACGGG
rnacentral:rRNA from 1 species